GACGAACGCUGGCGGCGUGCUUAACACAUGCAAGUCGAACGGAGUGGCGAACGGGUGAGUAACCCGUGGGUGAUCUGCCUUGCACUUCGGGAUAAGCUUGGGAAACUGGGUCUAAUACCGGAUAGUGCAAGAUGAGCUCGCGGCCUAUCAGCUUGUUGGUGGGGUAAGGGCCUACCAAGGGGUCGACGGGUAGCCGGCCUGCGAGGGGGUACGGCCACAUUGGGACUGAGGUACGGACCAGACGCCGACGGGAGGCAGCAGUGGGGAAUAGUGCACAAUGGGCGGAAGCCUGAUGCAGCGACGCCGCGUGGGGGAUGAAGGCCGUCGGGUUGUAAACUCCUUUCGACAGGGACGCGGUACCUGUAUAAGAAGCACCGGCUAACUACGUGCCAGCAGCCGCGGUAAUUC
rnacentral:rRNA from 1 species